rnacentral:rRNA from 1 species
GAUGAACGCUGGCGGCGUGCCUAAUACAUGCAAGUCGAGCGAACAGAUAAGGAGCUUGCUCCUUUGACGUUAGCGGCGGACGGGUGAGUAACACGUGGAUAACCUACCUAUAAGACUGGGAUAACUUCGGGAAACCGGAGCUAAUACCGGAUAACAUAUUGAACCGCAUGGUUCAAUAGUGAAAGGCGGCUUUGCUGUCACUUAUAGAUGGAUCCGCGCCGUAUUAGCUAGUUGGUAAGGUAACGGCUUACCAAGGCAACGAUACGUAGCCGACCUGAGAGGGUGAUCGGCCACACUGGAACUGAGACACGGUCCAGACUCCUACGGGAGGCAGCAGUAGGGAAUCUUCCGCAAUGGGCGAAAGCCUGACGGAGCAACGCCGCGUGAGUGAUGAAGGUCUUCGGAUCGUAAAACUCUGUUAUUAGGGAAGAACAAAUGUGUAAGUAACUGUGCACAUCUUGACGGUACCUGAUCAGAAAGCCACGGCUAACUACGUG